GACGAACGCUGGCGGCGUGCUUAACACAUGCAAGUCGAACGGAAAGGCCCUGCUUUUGUGGGGUGCUCGAGUGGCGAACGGGUGAGUAACACGUGAGUAACCUGCCCUUGACUUUGGGAUAACUUCAGGAAACUGGGGCUAAUACCGGCUAGGAGCUCCUGCUGCCUGGUGGGGGUUGGAAAGUUUCGGCGGUUGGGGAUGGACUCGCGGCUUAUCAGCUUGUUGGUGGGGUAGUGGCUUACCAAGGCUUUGACGGGUAGCCGGCCUGAGAGGGUGACCGGCCACAUUGGGACUGAGAUACGGCCCAGACUCCUACGGGAGGCAGCAGUGGGGAAUAUUGCACAAUGGGCGGAAGCCUGAUGCAGCAACGCCGCGUGCGGGAUGACGGCCUUCGGGUUGUAAACCGCUUUCGCCUGUGACGAAGCGUGAGUGACGGUAAUGGGUAAAGAAGCACCGGCUAACUACGUG
rnacentral:rRNA from 1 species